rnacentral:rRNA from 1 species
GACGUAGGACGCAAGCGUUAUCCGGAGUUACUGGGCGUAAAGCGCGGGCAGGCGGUUCUGCCAGUCUGAUGUGAAAUCUCCCCGCUCAACGGGGAGCAGCCAUUGGAAACUACAGAACUGGAGUCUGACAGAGGUAGGCGGAAUUCCGGGUGGAGUGGUGAAAUGCGUAGAGAUCCGGAGGAACACCAGAGGCGAAGGCGGCCUACUGGGUCAGUACUGACGCUGAGCCGCGAAAGCCAGGGGAGCGAACGGG